GGAUGCGAUCAUACCAGCACUAAUGCACCGGAUCCCAUCAGAACUCCGAAGUCAAGUGUGCUUGGGCGAGAGUAGUACUAGGAUGAGUGACCCCCUGGGAAGUCCUCGUGUUGCAUCCC
rfam:Ipomoea nil DNA, scaffold: scaffold2742, cultivar: Tokyo-kokei standard.